AAUGAGGAGAAUACGUCAUUGUAAAUUAGGGUGACCAGACGUCCCCGGAAGUGUCCCCGUUUUUAACAGUGCAUUAAAAACAGACUGCAAAGUGAAAUAAUAUUUGACGUGGCAAGAAAGACCGGGCAGCAGAGCCUACCGGUUGACGUCUCAAUUGCGUUGUGCUUGUUUUGUCCAGCAGAGCGGGCUGCCCGCUAUAGCAGCUUCAUUCAGUCUUCUACUAACUACUUGCUCGCUCUAGUUUUAGAGAAAACUGCUGUGGAAAACUCGGCCAGAACCUAACAAGUGUCAAGUGAAUCCACAACAUCACCACAAACGUAUUUUCAAGCCAGAUUGGAGAGGAAGGAGAAGAAGAAAUGAAGGGAGUAAAACGAGUGAAGCGAGGAGAGUGUAGAAGAGUGAGGUGGAAAGGUGAAGAGAAGGAAAGGAAGAAAGAGAAGGAAGACGGGUGAAGAAAAGAGGAGGAGAAAGAUUGGAGCAGAAGAAAAAGUUAAGAGAGUAAGAAGAGCAACCUCCCCUGCCAGGAGUUCACGGUGAAGCUGGCCAAAGAGAGCAAUCCUGAAGAAGAUACAUUCUUCUGAGAAAUAUACAGAUUAGGCUACCAGGACCCAUGAAUGGCUGUUCAGAUCGGACAGUUCUGUCUUGUCUGUAGUGUUUCUGUAAUACAGUUGUUUUCUCUGUCACAAUGUGCCUGUUAGACUAAAUACACAAAACCGGAAUUGUCCCCCUUUUUUAUUUAAUUGAUAAUAACAUUGGAUAUUUUAAUUAUAUAUUGACCGCCAAACUGGAAAUAUCCCCGGUUUUAAUUUCAGAAAUGUGGUCACCUUAUUGUAAAUGUGAUAAAAUAAUGGAUUGUUUGGUGGACCUCAGAUUUCUUCAAAAGAGAGAGUUACUGGAAUUUGCCAUGAUCAUUUUUAGAUUGCUGAGGUGUUGUUUUAUAACUCAAGUGAAACAAGUCAUUUAGGUUUACACAGGCAGCCCAAUUCUGAUCUUUGUUCCAUUAAUUGGUGGAGCUGAUCUGAUUGGUCAAAAGACCAAUUUGUGAAGAAAAAUUCAGAAUCGGGCUGCCUAUGUAAAUGCUGCCAAACAUAUUACAUAUGUACACUCACAUGGAGUAUUUGAAAACAAGAACAUUAUCAAAUUAAAUGUUUGGUGGUUUAUCUUACAGUGAACGUUGGAGGAGAAGUAGGUUGUGCAACCAUAGACAGUCCAAUGUACUUGAUUGUGUCAGUUUCUGUUGAAAGGGGAAAGGCAGGCGUGCAGAAUCAACUAGUGUUUCUCAUUUUCAAGAUCCCGUUGACAUUUCAACAAUAUUUUAAUACUCAAUUAAUCCAUGGUUACCGUGAAUAGGUGUUACAUGUUCUUAUAAUUAUUCAUGUUCUUAUAAUUAACCACCUUUCUAAAUUGCAGUCCAGUAAGUACAGUAUAGUGUAUCAUCAACAUCCAUCUCUACCUUGAGGAGUGUAACAGUCUGUACAGUCUGUUCUGUCUUGAGCACAUCUACAGAUUCCACCAGAUCCAUUCUUCUGAUAUGGCGCACUGACCAUUACCCUGUGGGUGAGAAAUAAAAAUGUUAGUUCGGUC